rnacentral:rRNA from 1 species
UACAGGGGAUGCGAGUGUUAUCCGGAAUUAUUGGGCGUAAAGCGUCUGCAGGUGGAUAAGUAAGUCUUAUGUUAAAUUUCUAGGCUCAACCUGGAGUCGGCAAAGGAAACUACUUAUCUCGAGUAUGGUAGGGGUAAAGGGAAUUUCAAGUGGAGCGGUGAAAUGCGUAGAUAUUUGAAAGAACUCCAAUAGCGAAGGCACUUUACUGGGCCAUUACUGACACUCAGAGACGAAAGCUAGGGGAGCAAACAGGAUUAGAUACCCUGGUAGUCCUAGCUGUAAACGAUGGAUACUAGAUGUUGCAUAUUUAAUACAGUGUCGUAGCUAACGCGUUAAGUAUCCCGCCUGGGAAGUACGCUCGCAAGGGUG